GACGAACGCUGGCGGCGUGCUUAACACAUGCAAGUCGUACGGUAAGGCCCUUCGGGGUACACGAGUGGCGAACGGGUGAGUAACACGUGGGUGAUCUGCCCUGCACUUCGGGAUAAGCCUGGGAAACUGGGUCUAAUACCGGAUAGGACCACUGCCUGCAUGGGUGGUGGUGGAAAGCUUUUGCGGUGUGGGAUGGGCCCGCGGCCUAUCAGCUUGUUGGUGGGGUGAUGGCCUACCAAGGCGACGACGGGUAGCCGGCCUGAGAGGGUGACCGGCCACACUGGGACUGAGAUACGGCCCAGACUCCUACGGGAGUCAGCAGUGGGGAAUAUUGCACAAUGGGCGCAAGCCUGAUGCAGCGACGCCGCGUGAGGGAUGACGGCCUUCGGGUUGUAAACCUCUUUCAGCACCGACGAAGCGCAAGUGACGGUAGGUGCAGAAGAAGGACCGGCCAACUACGUGCCAGCCGCCGCCUGUAA
rnacentral:rRNA from 1 species